AUUGAACGCUAGCGGGAUGCUUUACACAUGCAAGUCGAACGAGUGGCGGACGGGUGAGUAAUAUAUCGGAACGUGCCCAGUAGCGGGGGAUAACUACUCGAAAGAGUGUUAAUACCGCAUACUCUUCUAGUGGCCGAUAUCGGCUUAGCUAGUUGUUGGGGUAAAGGCUCACCAAGGCAACGAUCCGUAGCUGGUUUGAGAGGACGACCAGCCACACUGGGACUGAGACACGGCCCAGACUCCUACGGGAGGCAGCAGUGGGGAAGUUUGGACAAUGGGGGAAACCCUGAUACAGCCAUGCCGCGUGUAUGAUGAAGGCCGUCGGGUUGUAAAGUACUUUGAGCAGAGAAGCGGUAUCUGCAGAAUAAGCACCGGCUAACUACGUGCCAGCAGCCGCGGUAAUAC
rnacentral:rRNA from 1 species